rnacentral:rRNA from 1 species
CAUUGGAACCACCUGAUCCCAUCCCGAACUCAGCAGUGAAACGAUGCAUCGCCGAUGGUAGUGUGGAGCUUCUCCAUGUGAGAGUAGGUCAUCGUCAAGAUU